rnacentral:misc_RNA from 1 species
GAUGAAGAACGCAGCGAAAUGCGAUAAGUAAUGUGAAUUGCAGAAUUCAGUGAAUCAUCGAAUCUUUGAACGCACAUUGCGCCCCUUGGUAUUCCGAGGGGCAUGCCCGUUCGAGCAUCAUUAUACCCCUCAAGCCUAGCUUGGUGUUGGGGCCUGCUGUUACCGGCAGCCCUUAAAAUCAGUGGCGGUGCCAUCUGGCUCUAAGCGUAGUAAUACUUCUCGCUACAGGGUCCCGGUGGAUGCUUGCCAUCAACCCCUAAUUUUCUAUGGUUGACCUCGGAUCGGGUAGGGAUACCCGCUGAACUUAAGCAUAUCAAUAAGCGGAGGA